rnacentral:rRNA from 1 species
CCCCAGACUCCUACGGGAGGCAGCAGUGGGGAAUAUUGCACAAUGGGGGAAACCCCGAUGCAGCGACGCCGCGUGAGUGAAGAAGUACUUCGUUAUGUAAAGCUCUAUCAGCAGGGAAGAAAAUGACGGUACCUGAGUAAGAAGCCCCGGCUAACUACGUGCCAGCAGCCGCGGUAAUACGUAGGGGGCAAGCGUUAUCCGGAUUUACUGGGUGUAAAGGGAGCGUAGACGGCCAUGCAAGCCAGGGGUGAAAGCCCGGGGCCCAACCCCGGGACUGCCCUUGGAACUGUGCGGCUAGAGUGCGGGAGGGGCAGGCGGAAUUCCUGGUGUAGCGGUGAAAUGCGUAGAUAUCAGGAGGAACGCCGGCGGCGGAGGCGGCUUGCUGGACUGAAACUGACGCUGAGGCUCGAAAGCGUGGGGAGCAAACAGGAUUAGAUACCCCCGUA